rnacentral:lncRNA from 10 species
GAAUUCCUCCCUCCUGACUGCUCUCAAACUGGGAUGCUGACAUUUUCCUGCAUUAGGACUUGAAUUGAAACAUCAGCUCUUCCUGGGUCUCAAGUUUGCUGGCCUUUGGACUAGAACCAAACCAUUGACUCUCCUGGGUGUUCGGCCUGCCUAACUUACCCUGGGACUUGCCAGCCCUGUAAACAUGUAGUGCUGACUUCCAGACCACUGAGGUCACCUGCAUAAGCGAGUCUGGCAACAAAUAAUCGUCUUCCAGAAAAUGACCAGAAACUCAGCCUGCUUUUUGUCAUUUCACCAGCCCCACCAUCUUUCCUUUAUUCUAGAGCUCCUGGCACACUUACAUGAAUCUCUUGAAAGAAGAGAAAUGAGAGCAUUCAUUCCAUACUAAUACAAUUGUGCCCUAUGGAAAGGCUUUUUGCUGGCAGACAUAGUAGACGGACCAUUUCCCAACUUCUUUUUCUUUGCCACCUUCCAGCCAAAGGUGUCCAUAUGACACAGCUCUGGACAGGAUAAUUGGAAGUCUGUUGUGGGAUUUCUGAGAAAGCUUUUGAUUUUCUGACAGAGACAUUUUUGCUUCCCCUUACCACUUCCUACUGGAUUACAGAUGUGAUGGAAAGAGCUGCAGCAGCCAUAAUACAACCAUAAAGGAGAGGAGAAGAGAAUUGCAAAGGCAUCAACCCACAUUGAAUUGAACUGCUAAGUUAACACUAGCAGUUACUUGCCUCCAGAUAUCUUGGUGUGUGAGAACAUUAAAUCUGUAUGUGUCUAAAUCAGUAUGGGUGAACAUUUCUGUCACUAAAGUCAAAAGCAUCCCUGAAACAGUGCAUGAUUCCAUAUGACCCUUACCACAACCCUGGUAAAUAGGUAUAAUUAUCCUUCAUUUAAACAUGACGAAAUUAAAGUUGGGA